rnacentral:lncRNA from 1 species
AACAACCCCACCCCCUGCGGCGCCACCCAGCUGGGAGCGGAGAGAGACUGACAGCGGAGGCGGGGGUCAGGGCGGGGACCCGGACCCCAGCCCCAUCGGGGACAGAGUCCAAAAAUAGCUCGCGUCCUUGGUGUUCGCCUUGUCGCAGGAGCCUCGCCAUCGCGCAAUCUGCACUCGCCCCUCUGCAGAUCUAAGGCCAGACCUGGGCCACCCUAACUUCUCGGUAUCUCCUAUUUCUACAAACCGGCCGGGUAGAGGAUGCAGCCGGGCGUGGUGGCUACAAGAAAGUGCCCUGGUGUUAAGAACUCAGCCUCUGAAACCUGCCGCCCAGCUUCGAGUCAGCGACGUACUUUUGUUGUCCCGGCCUUAGUAUCCCCGCUGCAAUAAGAGAUUUUUCUUUGUGUUUGAUGAAUGCGUGCUACUUUAGGAAUCUAGUGACUUUUGAACAAAGGAAAAAGGAGAGUGAUCGAGAAAAAAAGAGAGACUGAGAUUGACUCAUGACAUUUUCAAAACUGCUUUGGCUCCUUGAGUGUAAGCUCCUAAAGGCAGAAAUCAAGCUGACCUAAGCAAAGACCUGAAGGGGCUAUGAGGACAUCUGGCAGAAGAGGUAAUGCUACGGGUAAGGAAUUGUACAAACACAUGAGAAAUAUCCACAGAAAGCACAGCACCUGGG